GGUUCAAUGGUCUAGGGGUUAUGAUUUCUGUCUUACAAAUGCUUCUUGCGCAUUCCGAGCACAGACGGUCUCCGGUUCAACCCCGGAUUGAACCA